rnacentral:ncRNA from 16 species
UGGCAGUGUGGUUAGCUGGUUGUG